GAAUUACUGGGCGUAAAGCGUGCGUAGGUGGUCGUUUAAGUCCGUUGUGAAAGCCCUGGGCUCAACCUGGGAACUGCAGUGGAUACUGGGCGACUAGAGUGUGGUAGAGGGUAGCGGAAUUCCUGGUGUAGCAGUGAAAUGCGUAGAGAUCAGGAGGAACAUCCAUGGCGAAGGCAGCUACCUGGACCAACACUGACACUGAGGCACGAAAG
rnacentral:rRNA from 1 species